AACGCCGCGUGAGGGAGGAAGGCCCUAGGGUUGUAAACCUCUUUUCUCUGGGAAGAAGAUCUGACGGUACCAGAGGAAUAAGCCUCGGCUAACUCCGUGCCAGCAGCCGCGGUAAGACGGAGGAGGCAAGCGUUAUCCGGAAUUAUUGGGCGUAAAGCGUCCGCAGGCGGCUUAUUAAGUCUGUUGUUAAAGCCCACAGCUCAACUGUGGAUCGGCAAUGGAAACUGGUGAGCUUGAGUGUGGUAGGGGUAGAGGGAAUUCCCGGUGUAGCGGUGAAAUGCGUAGUUUCGGGAAGAACACCAGUGGCGAAGGCGCUCUACUGGGCCACAACUGACGCUGAGG
rnacentral:rRNA from 1 species